rnacentral:rRNA from 1 species
GGAGAACGCUGGCGGCGUGGAUUAGGCAUGCAAGUCGGACGGUAGGGCUUUAUCGUAAGAUAGAGUUUGAGAGUGGCGAACGGGUGAGUAACACGUAGGAAUCUACCCUUAAGACGGGGACAACCCAGGGAAACUUGGGCUAAUACCGGAUGAGAGUGCGAGAGAUUGCAUUUAAAAGGAUGGCGAAAGUUGUCGCUUAGGGAUGAGCCUGCGGUCUAUUAGUUAGUUGGUGAGGUAAGAGCUCACCAAGGCGAUGAUAGAUAGGCGGCCUUAACGGGUGGUCGCCCACACUGGGAUUGAGAUACGGCCCAGACUCCUACGGGAGGCAGCAGUCGAGAAUAGUCUACAAUGGCCGGAAGGCUGAUAGUGCGACGCCGCGUGAACGAGGGAGCCCUUCGGGGUGUAAAGUUCUUUUAUAUGUGAGCAGUGCUUCUUAUACUAACAGUAUGGGGAGAGAGAUAUUAGCAUAUGAAUAAGCAACGGCUAACUCCGUG